AUAGGGAGUCCGAAGGACGACUGUAACAGGUCAACCUUAGGUACUUGACUACCAUGUGUGAACUGUACUUUAGACUGCUGUGUGCCAGUCAGUGGGAGGUACUCUUGAAGACCCUUCUUGGACUUCUGGAGGACCUCUCACCCCGGCACACACACCCCAUUACGUAUACCCUGUAUGUCCUAAAACACCCCAGAGAGAGGUAUCAAGCAACCUAGUGUUGAACUUGCA
rnacentral:misc_RNA from 1 species